UUAGGGUUCCGUUUUCUGUCUUAGUGAUAGAAGCACUAGUGUUGGGAGUGUGGGGGACUGUAGAAGACGUGGUGUGUAGAUGCUGUGUCAGGGUAUGUACCGUGGAGGAAAAAGGAACGCAGCGCAAGAUGUGUAGAGAAGGUACAGAAAUACUAGGAAGGCUAUUAUGAAUGAGAAAGAUGGGAAGGUUUGUUGUCAACGUCAUCUGUGGUGAAAGUGGAGGACGGAGGCUGGUGACAAGACGGCAACAGCAGCAGCAGCAGCAGCGGUGUUACUUCUUAGACUGGUGCUGCUGGGACUGACUGUGAGCCUGGCCAGUGCCUCCAGGUUGAGCAAACAGCAUUUGAGCAUGUUGGUUGGACAACUGAUAGGGCACAGCCAGCCCCUGAGUGCUCACACUUUCAACACUCACCUGAGCAAGUCAACAUAAGUGUUGUAGAGACAUUAUAUAUUUAAAUUUAUGUCAUGAUCACUAAUAUUCAUACAAUGAAUUACACUUAUUAGAAUUCUAUAUUAAUAAGG